GAUGAACGCUGGCGGCGUGCCUAAUACAUGCAAGUCGAGCGAACAGAUGAGAAGCUUGCUUCUCUGAUGUUAGCGGCGGACGGGUGAGUAACACGUGGGUAACCUACCUAUAAGACUGGGAUAACUCCGGGAAACCGGGGCUAAUACCGGAUAAUAUUUUGAACCGCAUGGUUCAAUAGUGAAAGACGGUUUCGGCUGUCACUUAUAGAUGGACCCGCGCCGUAUUAGCUAGUUGGUAAGGUAACGGCUUACCAAGGCGACGAUACGUAGCCGACCUGAGAGGGUGAUCGGCCACACUGGAACUGAGACACGGUCCAGACGCCUACGGGAGGCAGCAGUAGGGAAUCUUCCGCAAUGGGCGAAAGCCUGACGGAGCAACGCCGCGUGAGUGAUGAAGGUCUUCGGAUCGUAAAACUCUGUUGUUAGGGAAGAACAAAUUUGUUAGUAACUGAACAAAUCUUGACGGUACCUAACCAGAAAGCCACGGCUAACUACGUGCCAGCAGCCGCCGUAA
rnacentral:rRNA from 1 species